rnacentral:tRNA from 1 species
GGGGAUUUAGCUCAGAGGCUUAAGUGCCUGCCUUGCAAGCGGGUGGUCAUGAGUUCAAUCCCCA